UUAAACUCGGCGAGUAAGCAAUAACGCAAACCCUAGCCUAAGGAUACGCCGCACGCCAUCUCCUUUUUCUGCCGGAUCGCCGCCUCUGCCUCGUCCUUUCACAUCUGUUAUCGCCUCCGCCGGAGCACUUCCCUUAUCUCUCCCGCCGGGCCUCAACCAGCGCAAGCCACCUGCUUGAUUUUCCUUUUGUUACAAUAUCAUUAUGGGCCGGAAAGCAGGGGGUUUGUACAUAAAUCCCAAAAAGUUUGGUGCCACAGGCAAACCUUGUAUGAAGGAGAUGGUGGCCUUCCUCGGUUGCUUGUCUUUGAACAAGAACAACGAUGACAAGUGUAUUAAACAGAAGGACCUCUUACUUUCCUGCGCGGAGGCCCAAAAAGGAAAACCCAAAAACCCCGCAAGGACUAUCAAUUAUCAUUUACAGCGACUUGGGAAAGAUAAAUACUUCUAGAGGUUUAUGUAUUUUCAUUGACGUGAGUUCUGAACCCAUUGAAUAAUAAUUUUAACCUGUUCUUUCCGAGCUUAAUCUUUGGCAAAAGUAGGACAGUGUGUAUGGUUGCAGCUAGAGCUAGUGUUGCGUAUCCUAUACAAGUUCUUCAAAGUAACUGGUGAUCUUUUGAGGUUGUUAUGGAAUUCAAAGCUUUGUUUUGAACAUGAAAUCUUUUCUUACAAGAGUAUAUAAGUUACGUCAGAUCUUAUGUAUGCUCUCUGCAGUCUAUAAUAUUGUUUUGGUACAUCAGCUUUCUAGUUAUAAUUCAACAAAAAGGUGGCUAUUAUUUUGUACUCUUCA